GGAGGGGUGACCGAGUCGGCCGAAGGUAGCCGCCUGCUAAGCGGUUGAGUGGGCAAACACCUGCUCCGUGGGUUCGAAUCCCACCCCCUCCGCCA
rnacentral:tRNA from 1 species